rnacentral:rRNA from 1 species
GACGAACGCUGGCGGCGUGCUUAACACAUGCAAGUCGAACGGAAAGGCCUGCUUUCCCUUGUGGAUUGCGGGUACUCGAGUGGCGAACGGGUGAGUAACACGUGAGUGAUCUGCCCCCAACUUGGGUAUAAGCCUGGGAAACUGGGUCUAAUUCCCGAUAGGACUGCAGGGUGGUGCCUGUGGUGGAAAACGAUUUUCUAGUGGUUGGGGAUGAGCUCGCGGCCUAUCAGCUUGUUGGUGGGGUAAUGGCCUACCAAGGCGGCGACGGGUAGCCGGCCUGAGAGGGUGGACGGCCACAUUGGGACUGAGAUACGGCCCAGACUCCUACGGGAGGCAGAGUGGGGAAUAUUGCACAAUGGGCGGAAGCCUGAUGCAGCGACGCCGCGUGGGGGAUGACGGCCUUCGGGUUGUAAACUCCUUUCGACCGCGAGGAAGCCACCUGGUUGGAAGGGUGGUGACGGUAGUGGUAGAAGAAGCACCGGCUAACUACGUG